CUGGCACUGGGCUGGGAGCCACCACGCCAGCACAGGCACUGGGGCUGUGGGAGCACCAAGGACUUGGCAGGGAAACAAGCAGCAAAGGAGUGACCGUCCUCCUCAGCAGCUCAUUGGGGAACAGUCGCUCCUGAGAGUGAGACACAGCGCACAGGCUCGGUUUACGAUGCGGCUGGAACUCUUCUAGAAAAGCAACUGUAUCUGCAAAAAGGUGCUACGUGGGGUGCAGAAAAACAUGCUUGGCAGCAGCUCCUGGCUUGGAGAGAGUAAACGUGUCUGAAAGUGUCCAAAUCUGUCUGCAUAGCAGGGGGAGAAUGGAAGUGAAGUUUUCUCCUUCAACAGAAGCCUGGGGGAGAGCACGGGGGCUGCAGCUGAAGGAAGGGACAUUGCUGUGGAUGUUUGCACACAAUGCUGUGGAUAUCUGCUUCACAAUGCUCUGGAUAUCAUG